rnacentral:lncRNA from 1 species
CAGUUUUCAGCUCAUGGAAGCUGCUUGGAUUGCAUCACAAAGUUUUAAAACAAACAGAAAAGAGAGAAGAACUAAGGAAAGGAGAUUCUUACAGUGAAGGUGCUCAUAAAGUGUUCCAUUUGAUGCAUAUUCGAACACCAGCAUCCUAGUAAAUGGACUGCUUUCUGAGCAAUACCCUAACAAUUUUCCCGUGUUUUCAUGAUUUAGUCUUGUCAAAUCUGCCACCUGAACCAUGCAAUAACAUACAUUACUUAAUCACACAUUCCAUUAAGAUACAGAAGCAGCAAUAACCAAUUGUUCAAUGACGUGAGACCA